rnacentral:rRNA from 1 species
AUCCCACAAGCGGUGGAUGAUGUGGUUUAAUUCGAUGCAACGCGAAAAACCUUACCUACCCUUGACAUGCCUGGAAUCCUGCAGAGAUGUGGGAGUGCCCGAAAGGGAGCCAGGACACAGGUGCUGCAUGGCUGUCGUCAGCUCGUGUCGUGAGAUGUUGGGUUAAGUCCCGCAACGAGCGCAACCCUUGUCAUUAGUUGCUACGAAAGGGCACUCUAAUGAGACUGCCGGUGACAAACCGGAGGAAGGUGGGGAUGACGUCAAGUCCUCAUGGCCCUUAUGGGUAGGGCUACACACGUCAUACAAUGGCUGGUACAGAGGGUUGCCAACCCGCGAGGGGGAGCUAAUCCCAUAAAACCAGUCGUAGUCCGGAUCGUAGUCUGCAACUCGACUGCGUGAAGUCGGAAUCGCUAGUAAUCGCGGAUCAGCAUGUCGCGGUGAAUACGUUCCCGGGUCUUGUACACACCGCCCGUCACACCAUGGGAGCGGGUUCUGCCAGAAGUAGUUAGCCUAACCGCAAGGAGGGCGAUUACCACGGCAGGGUUCGUGACUGGGGUGAAGUCGUAACAAGGUAACCGUA